rnacentral:rRNA from 1 species
UACGGGGGGGGGCAAGCGUUGUUCGGAAUUACUGGGCGUAAAGGGCUCGUAGGCGGCCAACUAAGUCAGACGUGAAAUCCCCAGGCUUAACCUGGGAACUGCGUCUGAUACUGGAUGGCUUGAGAUUGGGAGAGGGAUGCGGAAUUCCAGGUGUAGCGGUGAAAUGCGUAGAUAUCUGGAGGAACACCGGUGGCGAAGGCGACAUCCUGGACCAACACUGACGCUGAGGAGCGAAAGCCAGGGGAGCAAACGGG